UGCCACAGCAUGCAUCACCAGGACUCGAAAAUCACCAACUGCCAGGGAAUGAAGGGGGCCUGGAGACUACCUCCUGCCAGUCUAGCAUCUGCCUGAAGAAGAGACAAGAGGACAGUGAUCAUUUGGGUCUCUUGUGAUCCAAGAUGGUCUCAGACUAAUUACUUCUCCAAUAAUAACUUUGAACUCUUGACCUGCCUGCCUCCAAGUGCUGGGAUUAUAGGUGGGUACUGUAUUUGUUUGAAUAGAUAUGGCCCCAUAGAUAUAUGUGUUUUAGUGCUUGGCUCACAGGAAGUGCACGUUAGGAGAUGUGACCUUAAGUGCACGUUAGGAGAUGUGACCUUACUAGAGUUAAGUGUGGACUUGCUGAAGGAAAUGUGUCACUAUGGAGGUGGGCUUUGAGGUCUCCUAAAUUCAAGCUACACCCAGCAUGGAAUCAGAGCCUCCUCCUUGAUUAAAUCUCCAAAACUGUAAACCAGUCCGAAUUACAUAUUUUCCUUUAUAAGAGUUGUCUUGGUCAUGGUAUCUCUUUGCAGCAAUAGAACCAUAACUAACACAUCUGACCUGAGAAAAGGUUAUCACAAAUAUUGGCCUAAAUAAUUUUUUAAAUUCCAAAGGGCUAUUUGUAAAGAUAUAUGUGUAUUGUAUAUGUACAUGUAUAUAUAUAUACAUAUAUGUAUAUAUAUUUAUAUCACCCAAUUACUGACAUCUAAGAACUUUUAAUAGUGUCUGAGAAUGUUAUUUAUCUGAAUGUUAUUGUAGUCAUAAACAUAUAUUUAAAUAACUUUUAUGAAAAUAAAGUUGAAAUAAUUGGUAGUGUUUUCAAUAAGGGAUUAUAAACUCCUUAGCAUGAAAAAAUGUGGGUGUGCUGGCUGACAAUUUGUAUGAAGGCAAACACUGACACAAGCAGAAUGUGAAGUUAACAUUUAGUCACUCAGAAUAUUUCUGUAAUACAAUUAUUUGAAACCUGAAAUUUAUGGUUAAAAGUAACCUAUUGAGUCCUUCCUGUUCAACUUUAAAUAAAAACUAGAUAAAUGAAUAAAUAAAUAAAUAAAUAAAUAAAUAAAUCUGAAAUCAACAAAAUGUGAAGUAGUAGCCCCUUAGUAAAACCGGCACAUGGCAUAAAACAGACCCAUUAAAAAAUGGCCUCUAUAUAGAUUAUCUAAAAAUCAGAAUUCUUAGAUAAAUACUUCUGCUUUCCUGUGAUACAUAGGAAAGAACAUUUCAAACACGUUGUUAUACUUCUAUGCCUUCUUUAAAAUCUGAGUAAAAAAUUUUUAAUGAUAUGCUGCAACAGAAAAUACAAUUUUCAAACACAGAUGAAUGCUUCUUGUCUCCUUCUCCUCCUCUUGCCCCUUCUCGUCCUCCCCUUCCCCCUCCUGCUCUUCUUCCUCCUCCUCUCACUAUGUAGCCCAUGCUAGCCUGCAACUUGUAGCCCAUUUGAUUCAAUUUGCCGAGUGCUGGGAUUACAGGCAUGAACCACCACAGCAUUCCUAUUUUUUUUCAAAGUUCAGCUUCUAAGUUUUAUUUUGAAUUCUUGAAAGGAAAAAUUACAAAACUGAAACUCUACAUAGUAAUUUCUGUUGUAUUUUAUAAACAUGAGUUAAUCAUGAUAUCAGAGGCCAGAGGGUCUAAAGGAGUUAUUGAAGCCAGUAUGACAUCACAAUCUUUGGGAAGGUUUUGACUCUGACUCUGUUCCAAAGUAGAUACUUGCUAAAUUAGUGAAUCUAUUCAUUGGCCUUGUUUAUCUGUUACCAUUUUUAAGUUUGUUGGCUAUCUUCUUGAAAAGACUAACUUCAUCUUUCAUCUCUACAGGCACCCCAUGCACAUAUCUGCAUGAACACAUAUGCACACACACACAUAAGCAUACACACAAAGAAAAGUAAAAUCAUUGUUAAAAGCCAUUGUGUAUGUUCAACCCCAGAUACUUUCUGCAUUUUCUUCAAGUUGCUUUGAUUGAGGUUAUGUAUUUGGAUUCACUGCUGCUGAGAGCAAAUGGUUUAGUUGUUCAGGGUUCAUGAGAUAUUACCAGCUGUGACAUUCAUUCUAUGGCAAAGUGAAGCAAAGCUCUUUCCAAAGCCAUUUUGGCUGAAUUGACAUCUGUCCUUGGCAUCUGCUAGUUGUAUGCCUUUAUAGAAGUUACGUAAUUUCUCUAAGUCUCCAGUUGUUCAUUUGUGAAUAACAAUAGGGACCAUUCCUAGGAGAACUGCAAGAGUUUUAAACCCACUGAAGGUUCUCAGUGAGAUGCCUGCCUGGAACAUUCUAUAGAAGAGACAAAUGUCAGCCAUCAUGUUACUUCUAAAGAGGCAAAGGGAACAAUAACGCUUAUUUUUUGGUAGUGAUUUUGGAGAGGUAUGAAAUAAGAAAUUACUUGGCAUUUCUGAAUUUUGAAUUAAAAAUCCUUAAUCUUUAGAGGAUGAAACACUGGCUCUUUUAAGACUGCUGUAGAGUUUCCACAAAGCAAAUACUAGAAUGUAACACUGUGCCUAAUGGUAAAACAGUGCAUUGUAGAUUUGGUAGCAUAGUGCAUAGUAGGAGAUUCUAUAAUCCUUGUUGCCAUAAUGAUCCAAUUUAUUUCCUGUUCACUUUUAGCUGGACACAUGGAUGUUAUCCAUGGUCAUCUAGGACAGUAGUGUGGAGAAGACCAAGUUUCUGGUCAGUACAUACCCUUUAAAGCUUCUCUGAAGCUCCUUUAUUCCUUCCAGAAUAGCAACUCAAGUAUAGUUGAUGUUCUUCUCACAGUCUAGUACAGUUUUGGAAAGAAACGAAUAAAAAGAACUAAUUCCAUUUUGCAUGUGAUUUUUCACACUAAAUUUAACAGUGACUGAUAACUCAUGAAACCAAGAUAGUGCUGUCAUGUCCUACGUUUGUGGAGGUGAGUUGCAGAGCUUUCUCAUAGACUCUCAUGUUUCACCACAACCUUGAAACUGAUCAAACUGGCUCGGGUAAUAAGGAAUUAGGUUCAAGGGGAUUGCUCCAUGGAGGGUACCAAGAGUAAUAAAAUCAGUAGGGCAUGCAGAGAACAAGCAAAUAAUUAGAAUGCUGUCCUUCCAAGAUCUCAGUUGAUGUAGAGAACGACUGGCCUGUAUGAUUUUUGCAUCCAGCAUAACUUUUAGAAAAUGUAUUCCCUUGACCAUAAUAUCAUACAUUAAAAAAAAAAAUCUAGGAAGUGCCAUACAUCCAUUCAAAACUAUUUGAAAAUGGAAAUUUUAUUUACUCGAGAACCGUGGCCUCUUUCUGUGACCUCGAUUUUCUAAACUUAAUCUUUGUGCAUUAUAGUCUCAUUAAUGUGAACACUACCUAUGAAAGGAAAAUGCCAGCAAGUAAAUACCUGGUCUCCCAGUACAAGACCAGCAGCGUCCCAGUCUACAAGCAGAAAGCACCAACACCGAACUUGGAAUGGACAUCUUUAUACUUAGACAUAAGGAUGAGGCAGUACAAGCUUCUGGAGUGUGACCCAUCUCAGUCCAGUGGUGACGCAUGGUUUGGAGAGCAAGAACGAGUGUUGUGUGGUGACAGUGGCUUUUUCUAGACUUGGGACUAUGGAGAGAUGCCUUCCAUAUAUAAUUUUCUAUCUGCAUAUAGUGACCCUAAAACAGUAAGGACUAAAAAUCUUUCCUCCACUUUGGUAGUUUCCUGCAGUUAUUGACUUCACCCUUGUCUACAGCACAGAACAGAAGUACUCAGCUUCAGGGGCAGAAGUAUGAAGUGUUGGUUAAGGCAACUUUUAGUUUGCCCUUGGUAUUUAAAGUGGACCUCAAGUUUCAACCACCAAGAAGGAAAGAAAGUACAAACAUAAUAAGAAUAUUUUAUUUUCUGGAAAGUCCUAACAAAGCUCAGUUCUUUAAUAGAAACUCAACCAAAUGAAAAGUACAACUAUCUCCAAGGGAUAAAGAAAUUUCAAGAACCUGAUGGAUGGUUUAAAAUAGAGCACAUCUUCCCAGUGGACAAGCUGACCCAAAUCUUGGUGAUUCAAAUUCAUGGAGAACUACAAAGUAAACCCAAGAAGCCUACGAAAUACUCUUUAAGACAAGGUUUCUUUCAGUGUUACUUAUCCAUCCAUAAAACAUACAUAUAAUUAUAAGUAUAAAUACAUUAAUAUUUUAAAGGUGAAGAGAGUGCUUUAAAUACACUGGUUGUCUUUGGCAGUGCUUUCUCAGUUAAGAGGUACUGAGAGAUAUAUGUUUUAUGGCAAAAAAAUGUUUUUAAUGGAAAAGUACUGGAGUCUAGAACAAAGAAUAUUCCAUUAUUUUUUUUAAAAAUCAUUUAAUUAUUUAUCUUAGGUGUGUGGGUAUUUUGCCUGUGUAUAUGCUCAUGUAUUAUAUGUGUGAGUUACAGAAGGUUUGUGAGCCACUACAUGGAUGCUGAGAAUCAAACCUAGUUCCUCCGGAAAUUCAGCCAAUACUCUAAGCCAUUAAGCCAUCUCUCCAGCCCUAGAAAGUCCCAUUCUUGAUUCUACUAAUAAGCCUUUUCUGAAGUGGAAAGACACACUGUUAUAUUUCAUCAAUAUUUGAAUUUCAAUAAGGUUUUAAUUAUUCCUCAUUGGUAUGACUAUACAACUUACACAACUUUAUGAGAUAAAGAUCCUAAAAGAAAAAUAGACUAAUUAGAGUAUUUCAAUCAAAGACAAAUGCCCUUUGCUGUCACAAGAACACCAUCAUCUCUUCUGAUCUCUGCAGAAAGGUUAGGGUCCUAGGAUUCUUUUCUGUAUUCAGUUUGAAUGUCAGGAGGUAGACUGAAGUAUUGUAAGACUGUUCAAACUAAUGUCCAAAUAGUUUCAGCAAAGCACACUGUUCUCACUAAUCUACGUUAGGAAGGAAAAAACUAUGUUUUGAAGUUUAUUCUAGAAGAAAGCUGGGGAAAAUAGUUGAAAACAAACCUCUAAAGCUCAGGAUGGUAUGUGGAAGAUGGAAUGGAGUCCUGGCCCCUGAACUCAUGACAGGUGUAUCAUGGAGCAUGGACAGCAGGCUCAAACAAACUGUAGUGGUAGCAGGCACCACAGGUAGAGGAAGCAUUGACUUUGGUUUAAGUGGAGUGUCUAUAGAAAGAACUCACAGGCUGUAUCAGCCACAUAGAUGCUGGAGAUGAUUGCUACUUGUUCUUAUGAGCAAUGAGUUAUUUUAUACCUCUCUAGAUUUUGUAUGUCUCUGUUUGCAAAAGAAGAACGUUUUUUUGUUAUUUAUUUGUUGGAGUUUCUUUGCACUAACACUUUUCAGACCUUGGAAAGUCAGUGAGAUCAUUUGCUAAGAUGUUUGAAUUCAAACAAAAAAUAUUCAAUCCUUUUUAAGAGGAGUGUUUUGACAUGGACUAAAUAGUCAUUGAAGUUGCUUAUAAAACAGUCAUUCACAAAGCAAGGUUUAAGAACAAUAGUUAAUGUUCUACAAAGGAAAAAUUAGCAACAAAUAAAUGAAUAGUAUUCUAUGAAAAUGAAAAAUUAGCAUACAAAGUGGAAUACUAUUUAGCACUAAAUAAAAAUAGAGUUAAAUUUUUUCCAAAAAAAUGGAUAGACUUCAAGUGCAUAAGAUUAAGUGAGGUCACAAUUCUCCCAAAAUGAAAAAAUAAAAAAAAACCCUGCAUAUUCUCUUUCAUAUGCUGAAUGAAUCUAGCUAGCAAUAUAGGUAAGUAUAUAAACAAAUAUACCCAUGGAUACAGAAGAACAGGAAGAAAAAGACAAUAAAGGCUAAAUAUUAGAGGAUGAAGAAAGAUAGAAUAAGGUAAUGAACAUGAACUAUGAAAGAGGUAUGCUUUCUUGGUGGUUUAAGAUAACAAUAAUGGAAUAUUGUAUUUUUAUUACCAAAACGUCUUACUUACUUGUAGAUCAUUGGUCUCAGAAUACCAAUAUGGCAGAUAAUUUAGCCUGAGUAAGCAUAUGAGCUAAGUGGAAUCUUUGGGUUCUGAUCAAACAAGAAAAUGAUAAUAAAAUUAAGUAUGAAUAUUUCUAUUUUUAGAACUUUUCCUCUAAUCUCUUUGUGAGAAAAAGCAGAUUAAUAAGAAAGUAAAAUUUGACUUAAGUGAUAUAUACUUAUCCUCUUACUUUCUGGGGAAAAAGUAUGUGGAUUUUUUUUUAUUAAGAACCAGCUGAUAUAUUUCAAACUUAAGUGUAUUAUGUUGCAAAAAUGAGCAAUCAUUUUAUACAAGGGCAUAGCAAUAUUUUGCAUAGCUUCUUUUGUUUUACCUGGUAAUGAAGAAAGGGUUGGUUUAAAUAGGACUAAACUUCUAGGCUUUGUGAAAACAGAAUGUUGAAAACUAAUUCCUGUCCAUUUGACUUAAUAGUCAUGGACCAUGUAAAGCCCGAGUAGGUGUUCUGCAAUGCUGUUCAGUUGAACAGCAUAUUCUUAUGGUCCCUAGAGAUGAAUCCCUGUCAUCUCAAAGGGUUCCCAGCAGCCACUGUUGAAGAAAAUGGGAAGGCUUACAAAGGAAGAUGCCAUCUUUAGCUAGAUAAUUACCUGAGGCAUCUCACAGGGUCUUCAUGUUUCAAAAUCCUCCAAUUCACUAUGAUCAUCAUAAACAAAAAUAAAUGAACGUAUAUUUUUUUUUUUGCUGUGGUGAUUAGGAAAACAGAUUUGAUUCACUUUCUAAGCACUUGACAUUAUCAACCACUUAGAAUGUUACGUGACAAAUCAAAGCACCAGGCACACACGAACCUAUGCUGACUGCUCCGUUAUUACGGACUUGCUGGGUAUUGCUGACAUUAACACUGAUGAUCGUGCCACAUUUGUUUUAUGGACACAGCGAGUCCUUCUGGAUGAUGACAUUUUGUAAUUCAAACAAUGACUCAGGGAAAAUGAAGUUUUCAUUUGCUAAAGUGCCGCAGGAUUGGAUUCAGAAACAUCUUGCUGUGUUGAAAUGGAUGCUAUUUGAACAGCAACACAAAAGCUCUCGUGAACAUUAAAAACAUCCAAGGAGGUUUUACUCCUGUCAUCUAAUUGGGAAAACAGAAGCAAACAAAUAAAAUAGUGUUCCUGGGACCUAUUCCACUGCUACAUCCUAUUACACAAGCAAGUGUGAUGUAAAACAAAGCCGUCAUCACCACACCAGAUUAUGGAACAAAUAAAGCCAAGUUUCUCAAGAUGGCAUCCAACAAAGCAUUACAAAUAAGGCUCAUUUUACUCAUAACUUAAAAAUACUUAUAGACCAUUUAUGUGCCUUGAUUUAUGCUCACCUAAAAGAACAAUAGUGACUUUUUAAAAAUUUAUGCUAAAACUUUAUCCCAAGAUUCACUGAUACUUUAAGCUUUAAAAAAUUUAUCAUUUUCUAUGUAUGGGUAUUUUGCCUCUAUGUGUACCUGUGAAUAACUUGGAUGCCUUUUGCCAGGAGAAGCUAUGGAUCUCUGGAACAGGAAUAAAAGAUGGUUGUGAAGCAUCAUGUGUGGACUGGACACCAAAGCAAGGUCCUCUGGAAGAGCAGCUACUGCUCUAAUCUGCUGAGGGUCUGUCCAGCUCCACACAGUUCUUGUAAGUCAAGUUGAAACCAAUGUGGUUCACAGAGAAUUCAACCUGAGCCUGAACUCUGCUCUUCUGUGUAUUCAAUUAUUAUGUUAAAAGUAAGUCUUAAGAAGUCAUUUACCACUAAUAAUUUUUCCCGUGUUGUUUUUCCUUUGGGGGUUCUUUAAAUGGGAGUUUAAAGAAGAUGGUGAGUGGAUGGUCAGUUUCAACAAGCCAGUGGCUAAAAUAUUUAGUAAUUUAUUGCCAGCAAAACUGAGGAAGGUUGUUAGUCUGGGGUGUCGAUGUGUACAGCUCUGGUGUACAGGUGAGUUUUCCAAAGACCCACUCAUUGCAAUGGUUUACUUUGAAUUUCUUCCCACUAACACUUUAUUUGGAACUUUGAAGGUCAAACCAAGACCACGUUCAUAGAGAAAACAACUUCACCUUUGUGAUACACUCCUGUGAGAAAAUGUUUGACUCGAAAUCACACAGAGUUCGAUUGUAAGAGUUUGUCAUAAAUCUAUGUACAUUUCUUAAUAUUUACAACACGGAAACACUAAGUGCAUCCAACUGGUGACAUGCAAAGAUUGAAGAUUAAAAAAAAAAAACCCUCUACAGAGUAAAAUAAGUAUAUACUACAGAUUCUCCAGUUUGACCGUCUGUGGUUAUAGAGCUGGGUUCUUUUUAUUGCAGACCAUAACAGGGCAAAACUGCAGCAUUCAACUACUGACAAGUAAAUGUGGAAACAGGUCAUAAAUUACCUCAUUGAAGUAUCUGUUUUACACUAGGCAAAUUUUAAGUAAACAUAUAUUCUCUACGUCCAGUAUCUGUAAUGAAAAUUCCUGCUUGAACCAUCGUGGCUUCUAUGUUCAACAGUUUGUAGAAGAUUGUUUUUCCACACCAGCAGAAUUUACAUAAUUUUUACUUCCUCAUUUCUUAAAAGCACGCCUUUAUAAUCCGAUCUACAGAAUUAUCACUGUACCGUGUUAACAUUGAGAAAUCACCUAGAAAGCAUCUUGUUUUGUAACUGGUCGCAUGGGCGUAGGCUGGCGUGUUAUUAGCCAGCUGGUUCAGAAACCGAUAGCCUCCGAAUCUGUAACAAUCUGAGACUUGGGGCUGAAAGGCCCUAUUAUGCUAUUGCCACGGACAUAAGGUUACUGUAAAUACUGCAGAAACCUAGGCCUGAAAGAAUCUAUUAAGUUAACAUUAUGCAUUCUUGGGGUUCUGAGGUCUCUGAAACCCAUCCACCAUUCAGUCCCAAAUGACGUUUACAAAUACCACAGAGCUCAACCUUCAGGCAUCUCCGGUUCAUUUUUUUUUUCCUGCCCCUCCUGUCCCCUCUUCCUGUCUCACCAUCUUUAUCUAGCCUCUGUAAUUGAUCCUGACUGGCUGACUAUCAUUUUAAAAAAAUAGUGCUAAAAGUAUUUAUACACAGUCACUUUGCAAUUAAUGGGAAAUUGCUUUCAAGGGCUAUUUGACAAUCCUUUCUGGUGGGGGAAAGCCUGCUAUGUGUCUAAUGGAGUUUCCCCCAGUAUCCUUUGUUAGUGGUGGGUGGCAAAUGGAUUGAAAAGGAAGACAGGCUGUGUAAUGGAUUGUGGCUCCAAAGACUGAUGGGAGGAAUAGUUAAGGAAAACAGAGGUUGUCAUGAAAGGAGAGGAUGACCCAUAGACCAAGGUCAUAGAUACCACCUUUCACUUGAUCGCCAUGCACGGAGGAUGUGAAAUACUGUGUGUUUACUAUUUAUUUUAAUACCAGAGGGUACAUAAAUUAUGCAUUGAAAUAUAAUCAUGUUCUCUCUGUGCCUUUGGAAAAAUAAUAAAAUAAAGCUCUCUCUUUCUCUUUCCCUCCGCCCCCAUUUAUACACGUUUCAAAAACCUUAUGUAAUGAAGUGAGUGGUGAGUUUAAGGGAGAGACCUGAAUGGAGCAUUUGUUUUGAAGGCAUAUUUGCUCUGUAUCAUGGCUCCUGCACUCGCUGUUCAUCUGACCCUCCAGGAAGCAUUUUCAUACAGUUUGAACCUGGAGAUGUUUUGUCUUUGGUCAGAAGCCUAUUGAUGAGCAGUUUCAGUGAUCAGUACAACAGCAUGGGAUUGUCCUUGUCCUGGGGAAGAAAACCAUUUGUGAAGAUAGACGAGUCAGAUAAGAAAAAAAAUAGCACAUUUGGCUGUAGUCACACACUGAUGUCUGACAUUUAUUUCUCUGAUUGAUUUUCUCUCGUUCCCCUUCCUGAUUUUAUCUCUUUCACCUUUUCUCUUUCUUCUGGAAAUAUUUAUUGAUUAUUUCCUAUGUACUGGUGGGGAAAAAGAAUGUAACCGCGCCUGCCAAGAAGGGGCAUUAGGUUGAAUAAAAGAGUGACAUUAGUCAAAUGGUCACAUUACUGGAUGCGUCACGGAAUAGGAAGAUAAAUGCUAUGAGCAAAAAGGAAUGCAGCCCUGUAAGAGAGUUAAACAAACUGAGGGAUUCAAUUCUGAUCAAUUGUGCUGAUGGCUUGACAUCUUGCAAUCAGGGAAGCUUGGGUGGGGAGGGACCAUGUGUUCUGGAAUCUGAAGAAUGCAAAUUAACUACAGGGAAGUAAUCUGGAGGAGGGGACUGGCAAGCUCAAGACUCGCAGUCAAGGGUUUAUAUGAACAAGUAUGGCAAGACAGCAGAGCGCUAAAGGGCAGUCGGUUUAAGAGAAUUUGGAUAAGUAGGGGCUGCACUGGGCAAGGAAAUUACUAAGGGUUUUUAACUAGUGUAAAAAGAUUGUCUUUUCAUUUUUAAAGAGCUACUAAGACCACAGUAUGAAUCAUAGGCAAGAAGAAAACAAAAUAAUAAUUGCAAGGAGUCUAAAUCAGGAGGGCAUUUCAGAGUCUAGGCUGAAGAUGGUGGAUUUUUAUACAAAAAGCACUAGAAAUAAAUUAGAAAAAUGGGGACACUAUGACAGGCACUCUUGGUGCACUUCCAGCUAGACAACCUGUAGCUGUGGCUCCCCUCCAGGCAGCUGGAAAUUACAGUAAGGAGAACGGCUUCCUGUUACUGUGACCAUGCAAGUCAUCUUGUCCAAGGUCUCAUUUGAGUUAAAACUAUCCAAUCACUUUCUCAGGGAAGCCUUAUUAACAAUUGUCAUUGAAUUGAUCAAGUUAGCCAAGUGAUGUAACAGCUCUUCUAUUUCUUAAAAGUAGUUUGCUAGGCAGAGAGUCCCUGUAUGGCAAUGAGGAAUUUGAUGUCUAAGAUCUGGUACUCUUAAGUACAUGGCAUUAUCAAUAGAGGUUCUCACUGGAGGCAGUUAAACUUCCUGUUGGGGCAUUCUUCAUAUCUGGAGACAUCUGGAUCAUCACAGCUCAGGGGGUGAGAGCUACUGGUCAAUCCUGUGUAGAAGACAGGGAAGUGACUGAACAUGCUAUGGUGAAUGGAGCAGGCCCUCCCAGUGACAAAGAAUGAUCUGACUUCAAGUGUUCAAAGUACCAAGGCUGGGAAACGCUGCCUUUUCAAAACAGGCUGAAAAGAUUUCCAUCUAUCGUGACAUGGCAGACAAAACAAAAUUUUUUACUCAGUCACUGAAAUGAAGUGAAGAUUUAAAAGACAGAAGAAGUUGAUAUACGCUAACAACACGGGUUAUUUGCAAUGUUUUGGAUAUAUAUUUACAAAGUGCAAAAUCAAAUAAAAAUGCUUGG